AAGACUAUUCAUAAAAUUACUAUAGCAAUUAACUUUUAUUUCGAUGGAUGAAAUAUUGUACAAGUAAAACGUAAUUAUUUGUUCAACAACACUUGAUGGCAUUUCCUUAGCACCUUUACGUGCGGUUAUUGUUAGUUUUUGACCAUUGUUGAGUAUGAUAAUGUAAAAUCAACAAAAGAAUAAGUACAUGUCCAUAUUCUCGAUUUUAAUACAAUAUUUUAUCAGCGAGUUAUCCAGUAGUAAAAUUAAAACGACAAAAUCGUUUCCAUAGUACAGUAUUGAUCUGUAAAAUCUCAAAAUACCCGGAGGUCUGUCAUUAAUGUUGAAUUUAUCGUCUAAAGGAUUCUAUUUUUUCAUCAUUAUUAAUACUUUUAGUAAAACGCCGGAUUCAACAACUUAUUUAUGGUUCCGGUCAAUAUGUAGCUAUUCGACAUUAAUAAGAGGUCAUACAAUCACUAUAAGUUGAGAAGAAAAUAACAAUAUAAAGAAAAUUUAAAUCAGAGAUAUAAUUAGGUUUUUUUAUGGAAAGGGACAUCAAAAAAUUUGUUGACUACUUUAUUCCAAUUAAAAAAAAUUAAAUGUUAGUUUCACCGUGUAUUUCAUUUUUUUGUGGAGGGGGGGGGUAACUAUUAUCUCUAUAUUACCUGACUACGUCCCUAAUUGGAACUAAAUCAGCAGAAUAGCAAACUAGUAUAAUGUAACAAGCUAUUCGUACA